ensembl:lncRNA novel transcript
CUUGUGACUUCGCAGGAGACCGCCACUCACGCGGAGCCAAUCGGAACUCGCGGCGGGGUUGCUGGGUCUUCCAGGAUCGCGCAUUAGCGGACGCUGGCUACGGGUGGCCGGGCGGGAUGUAACCGGCUGCUGAGCUGGCAGUUCUGUGUCCCCAGGCUUCGGCCCGGCCGCCGCCGCACAUAAACUGCGAGGAGGAGCUUUACGACUUCUCGGUCUUCGGGGCCGGGCGCAGCAAGGGCCAGACUCUGCGCUAGCAGGCGCUGCGCGCCAACCGGCCGGCCCCUGUCGCAGAAGGUGCAACCGAUCGCACUGUCGCGCAGAAGCUCCUCAAUGGCCAGCGCCAGCUGCAGCCCCGGCUGCCCACUCGCCUCACCUGAGCCUGGGUGGAACAAUCCAAAGUUUUAAUCAAAGAAGGUGGUAUUCAGUUGCUGCUUACAAUAGUUGAUACCCCAGGAUUUGGAGAUGCAGUGGAUAAUAGUAAUUGCUGGCAGCCUGUUAUCAAUUACAUUGAUAGUAAAUUUGAGGACUACCUAAAUGCAGAAUCGCAAGUGAACAGAUGUCAGAUGCCUGGUAACAGGGUGCACUGUUGUUUAUACUUCAUUGCUCCUUCAGGACAUGGACCGUUACAUAACUGAAGACUCCCACCUUCAGGCAGGAUUGGGUAGUACAUGUUUGUAACUACCUGGCAUUGCCUUUUGUUGAGACUUAAACCAUUGGAUAUUGAGUUUACAAAGCAUUUGCAUGAAAAAGUGAAUAUCAUCCCACUUAUUGCCAAAGCAGACACACUCAUGCCAGAGGAAUGCCAACAGUUUAAAAAACAGAUAAAGAAAUCCAAGAACAUAAAGUUAAAAUAUAUGAAUUUCCAGAAACAGAUGAUGAAGAAGAAAAAAAACUUGUUAAAAAGAUAAAGGACCAUUUACCUCUUGCUGUGGUGGGUAGUAAUACUAUCAUUGAAGUUAAUGGCAAAAGGGUCAUAGGAAGGCAGUAUCCUUGGAGUGUUGCUGAAGUUGAAAAUGGUGAACAUUGUGAUUUUACAGUUUUAAGAAAUAUGUUGAUAAGAACACACGCAGGACUUGAAAGAUGUUACUAAUAAUGUCCACUACGAGAACUAUGGAAUCAGAAAACUGGCAGCUGUGACUUAUCAUGGAGUUGAUAACAAGAAGAAUAAAGGGCAGCUCACUAAGAGCCCUCUGGCACAAAUGGAAGAAGAAAGAAGGGAGCAAGUAGCUAAAAUUAAGAAGAUGGAGAUGGAGAUGGAGCAGGUGUUUGAGAUGAAGGUCAAAGAAAAAGUUCAAAAACUGAAGGACUCUGAAGCUGAGGUACAGCGGACCUUCCUGGCAUCAGAAAAAGGCCUCCAGAAAAAGAGACACAGCACACACAUGCCCUCUUGGUUCUGUUUCUUUGAAGAACCCCAGGAAAACACACAAAGGAAAAACAACUCGAUAGACAGAAGAUUCUUCAAUGACAACAAUGGAAGCCAUCUUCACCAUUCAACUAAACUUGAAUGGGAUAUUAUCAAACUUAAAAAAAAAUUAUCAACUGAUCGUGUAAUCAGUUUCAUCUUUUAAGACAGGAAAUGAAAUAAAGUAUUUACAGAUGAAUGUAAAAU